AGCUGCUAGAAGGAAAAAGUUCCUCGCAAAACUUGAGUCUUACCGCCGGAAGGAGUAUUGUAUUGAUGGACAUCCGGUGAAGAAGAGCUUCUUUGCUGAGAUAUAUACUCCACAGAAUUGGGUAGACACUCCGCACAUGUAAGCUAUGCUAACUCUAGUUUGGUCAAAGCUCGGAGAAUCAUUCAUGGACAUGAGGGUCGCCGUCUUGGAUACAUACUUCUGUAGUAUGUUAUGCAAUGAGUACAACGGAUUCAAAAAACGUGACAAGCGAGCUCCUUACAGGUGGAAUAGUGUGUGCAAGAAUUAUGCUAGGGGGAUUGUUCCAAGCCGGUCUCAUCACUUGAUGUGGUUUGAUAAGGUGGACAGAGUAUACCUACCUAUGAACUGGGGGAAGAGACAUUGGUUACUCUCGUCAUUCAUCUUUACCAGGUAAAAUUGAGAUUUUGGAUCCUCUAAUUGUGAACAACGACCAGAAAAGGAUGACCAGGUUCAUGAAGCCAGUAGAGGACAUGCUCCCAGUCUUUUUAAAAGACAUAUUUGGGGAUUGUGGACAGUUUGAUCUGCCGGAGUCUUUCACUUAUGAAAAGGUGGUGAAUGUGGCCCAAAAUGACCGUACUGGUGAUUGUGGUCCAUUUUCGGUCAAGUUCAUUGAACUCCAUGCACAGGUCUGCAAAUGGAUGAUAUAACAAAGGAGAUGGUAAACAACUUCAGGAUGAAGUACGCCAUUGAUGUCUACGACAGAUUUGUUUGCUGAAACUUUGUCUCUCUCAUCAUCCCAAACUUUGUUGACUUUCGUGUUGCGUUAAAAACAUAUUUUAUGUCAACUUGACAUCCUUUGUCCCUAUGGUUGUGGUUUUUCCAUGAAUACUUAGGAUAUAUUGUCCACGACUUGUUAUACAUCUUCUGUUAUGGAUGG